rnacentral:rRNA from 1 species
UACGGGGGGGGCAAGCGUUGUCCGGAAUUAUUGGGCGUAAAGAGCCUCUGUGAGGCGGUUUUGUCGCGUCUGCUGUGAAAACUGGAGGCUCAACCUCCAGCCUGCAGUGGGUACGGGCAAACUAGAGUGCGGUAGGGGAGAUUGGAAUUCCUGGUGUAGCGGUGGAAUGCGCAGAUAUCAGGAGGAACACCGAUGGCGAAGGCAGAUCUCUGGGCCGUAACUGACGCUGAGGAGCGAAAGCGUGGGGAGCGAACAGG